UGAGGAAUCUUUCGUUCUCUUUUUAAGUAAAGGAGAAGGUAAUCCACCUGCGCAAGCACAGUUACCAGCCUUGAAGCCAUGUCCAGUGAAAUUAGCGCUGAAGAGAAAAAUGACCAGCAUUUCCAGGAGCUAAGAAAAGUGCCCUCAUCCAAGUGGUGGUGCGGAGGCAGAUCCUAAACACACACACAUUAUGAAUAGCCAAAGGACCAAUAUUUAUGCCCUGGGGCGGUGCUGGGGUGGUGUGUGAGGUAAGCUGGUAGGAAAGCCAGAGACAAACAAUUGAAUGCCUUUCCGGGAUUCGAACAAUAAGAUAGGACAGGCUUUGAUGGGUCAUCAGGAUGCAAGAGAAUGUGUUGGCUAUUCUCCUGAAUCCUGAAUAAUUACGGGGAUGGGUGCAGAUUAGAGUAAGUAAUGGUCUUCUUUGAGUGAUGAUGGGCAGCCCAAUUGUGUGUGGGGUGUGUGUGGAGGAAUUCCCCUCUGGAGCUGGCAGGGGUUUACGCCAGUAGAUUUGCCCUCCCUGGGGUACUUACCUCGCCUGAGGGGCAAAUCCACCAGUGCCCAUCCACUGCAGGGCCCUGGGACACCUGGCUGCGGCACCCAGCUCUGCACUGGCACUCCCUGACUGCAUCAGUGUGGCAGAGGCAUUUCACAGGUUGAGAUGACCUUAAUCGGUUUUCACUGCCCAAUCCAUAGUGUGAUUUCACAUAGCUCACCAUUGCCUUCCCCAGCCAUCUGCUCUUCACGCCCAGCAAGCAGGAUAGUCAUUUUACUGAACUCAGAGGGAUAGAAGUCUGAGUCAACCUUGUGCCAGGCUGAUGAAGAGUUCUGUGCAACCCCGAAGCUUGCACUGUUUUGAGUCAUUUGCUUGGUCCUAAUAAAAGAUACUAUGCA